GAACCGUCCAAACGUUAUUCGGAUUUAUUGGGCUUAAAGGGUAUGUAGGCGGCCCUUCAAGUCGGGUGUGAAAGCCCUCGGCUCAACCGAGGAACUGCGCCCGAUACUGUGGGGCUUGAGGGAGACAGAGGUAAGCGGAACUGAUGGUGGAGCGGUGAAAUGCGUUGAUAUCAUCAGGAACACCAGUGGCGAAAGCGGCUUACUGGGUCUCUUCUGACGCUGAGAUACGAAAGCUAGGGGAGCGAACGGGAUUAGAUACCCCGGUAGUCCUAGCUGUAAACGAUGAGCACUUGAUCGUGGGGCCCCCCAUAGCCUCUCGGUCGCAGCGAAAGUGGUAAGUGCUCCGCCUGGGGAGUAUGGUCGCAAGGCUGAA
rnacentral:rRNA from 1 species